AUUGAACGCUGGCGGCAUGCUUUACACAUGCAAGUCGAACGGUAACAGACCUUCGGGUGCUGACGAGUGGCGAACGGGUGAGUAAUGCAUCGGAACAUGCCCAGAGGUGGGGGAUAACGCAGCGAAAGCUGUGCUAAUACCGCAUGUGAUCUGAGGAUGAAAGCGGGGGACCAAGCAGCAAUGUUUGGCCUCGCGCCUCUGGAGCGGCCGAUGUCAGAUUAGGUAGUUGGUGGGGUAAAGGCCUACCAAGCCGACGAUCUGUAGCUGGUCUGAGAGGACGACCAGCCACGCUGGGACUGAGACACGGCCCAGACUCCUACGGGAGGCAGCAGUGGGGAAUUUUGGACAAUGGGCGCAAGCCUGAUCCAGCAAUGCCGCGUGCGGGAAGAAGGCCUUCGGGUUGUAAACCGCUUUUGUACGGAACGAAAAGGCUCUGGCUAAUACCUGGGGCUGAUGACGGUACCGUAAGAAUAAGCACCGGCUAACUACGUG
rnacentral:rRNA from 1 species